GAUUAUAAGCAGAUAACAUAAACACCUUGAUGGUGGUUUCUAAGCCAGCAGCAUCAGAGACAACUGAGCUGAUUCCCAGAUGGAGGAACUUCCCGAAGCAUUUGGGCUCUUCCCAGUCUAACAAGCUUCCCUGCAGGACUGGAUGUUUCCCCUGCCCUUACAUCACCAUGUUGAUUCUCCUCCUUUCUUAGAUGGAAGGCUUCCAUCUUGAGGAACUGCUACACCAAUGCCUUCUACCACUGAGCUACAUCCUCAGCCUUCCUGAUUUAUUUACUCUGUUUCUGUCUAGUACAAGCUAAAACACACGGUGACUGUAUACAUGAGAGUGUCAGGAAACUCCAGGUUUAGAAAGGAGUAAGGUUAAACUCAAAGGUCACAAAAUACUUUCAUUUGAAAUGUCUAUGGAAUAUUCUCUCAAUGUCGGCAUUCUUCAUAGCUUUUUGUUAUGUUGAAAUCCUUGAUCCUCUGAGGUGAGGGAUUCUGUGAUGGUUAAUAAUGAUUGCCAGGGCUGGAGAGAUGGCUCAGCAGUUAAGAUCACUUGCUGAUCUGGCAGAGAACCCAGGUUAGGUUCCCAGCACCCACAUGGUGGCUCACAACUAUCCGUAAUUCCAGUUCCUGGAGACCCAGUGCCCUCUUCUGGCCUCCAGUGGCACUGUUCAAAUGCAAACAUGAUGGCCAACAGUCAUACACAUAAAACAAAAAGAACUUUGAAAAAAUGUUGAUUGUUGUUCCACCUACAGUCUCAGAACUGAAGAAGCAUUAGCCAAUCAAGUUGUCCUCAAGUAGCACUCCUUCAGAAGUGUAGAUGUUAUUCUAACUGAUAACAAGCAAUAAGGGUGCUUCUUAUGUGUCUGUGAUGUGGGGUAUUAAAAUAUUAACUACACAAGAAAUUAUGUAUUCUGCUUUUUCCCUUAGGAAUUAUAUCUUAUUUGUUUUAAGUGGCCUCUUAGUUUACUUCUGUAUUGUUGCUGUUGUAAAUAUUUAAUGUAUCAAAAGUGAAAACAAACUAAAUAACUUAAAAAGAUGUAUUCCUAAGAUUUAAGGUUCAGUAUUUGAAUUUAGCCAGAAGUAUUUACUGCAUUGAAUUGUUGAGAGAAAACAAUAUGCAGUCAAACAUAGAUGCAUUUCAAAUAUAUUAACUGUUUAACAUACAGAGAGCACAUGGUCACACCAAUAACAACAAUGUAAUUUCUCAACCAGAAGAUUAUAAACAUCAAAUGAGGUUUUAACAAACCUAUUUUCUACCACAAAACAAAAAAUAAAAAUUCUAAAACCAA